CUGUAAGCCGUUGAAGGUGUGCUGUGAGGCAUGCUGGAGGUAUCAGAAGUGCGAAUGCUGACAUAAGUAACGAUAAAGCGGGUGAAAAGCCCGCUCGCCGGAAGACCAAGGGUUCCUGUCCAACGUUAAUCGGGGCAGGGUGAGUCGACCCCUAAGGCGAGGCCGAAAGGCGUAGUCGAUGGGAAACAGGUUAAUAUUCCUGUACUUGGUGUUACUGCGAAGGGGGGACGGAGAAGGCUAUGUCGGCCGGGC
rnacentral:rRNA from 1 species